CGGAAGUUUUCGGAUGGAAGCAAUAAACCUUAGCGGCGGACGGGUGAGUAACGCGUGGGUAACCUGCCUCAUACAGGGGGAUAACAGUUAGAAAUGACUGCUAAAACCGCAUAAGCGCACAUUGUCGAGUGACAGAGUGUGAAAAACUCCGGUGGUAUGAGAUGGACCCGCGUCUGAUUAGCUAGUUGGUGAGGUAACGGCCCACCAAGGCGACGAUCAGUAGCCGGCCUGAGAGGGCGACCGGCCACAUUGGGACUGAGACACGGCCCAAACUCCUACGGGAGGCAGCAGUGGGGAAUAUUGCACAAUGGGGGAAACCCUGAUGCAGCGACGCCGCGUGAGUGAAGAAGUAUUUCGGUAUGUAAAGCUCUAUCAGCAGGGAAGAAGAAAGACGGUACCUGACUAAGAAGCCCCGGCUAACUACGUGCCAGCAGCCGCGGUAAUACGUAGGGGGCAAGCGUUAUCCGGAUUUACUGGGUGUAAAGGGAGCGUAGACGGCUGUGCAAGUCUGAAGUGAAAGCCCAGGGCUCAACCCUGGGACUGCUUUGGAAACUGUGGAGCUAGAGUGCUGGAGAGGUAAGUGGAAUUCCUAGUGUAGCGGUGAAAUGCGUAGAUAUUAGGAGGAACACCAGUGGCGAAGGCGGCUUACUGGACAGUAACUGACGUUGAGGCUCGAAAGCGUGGGGAGCAAACAGGAUUAGAUACCCUGGUAGUCCACGCGGUAAACGAUGAAUACUAGGUGUUGGAGAGCAAAGCUUUUCGGUGCCGUCGCAAACGCAAUAAGUAUUCCACCUGGGGAGUACGUUCGCAAGAAUGAAACUCAAA
rnacentral:rRNA from 1 species